GCAAGAUGGCGGAAUAGAAGCCUCCUGCGUUGAGCUCUCUGCGUAAACACCAAAUUAAACAACUAUCUAUGCAAGAAAGCUCCCGCAGAAGAACCAAAAAUCACGGUUCCUGGACUAGCCUACAAUUGUGAUUUUCCCCUCUCGAAGCAGAAAACGAUACAAAUGAAGGAAUACAGGUGCAGAGAAAGAAAGCGUGGCAGAAACACAUCAGGAACACGGCAUGUGAUUGGUAUUCUCCAGCUCUUUCUGGGACUUGGCACCACUGUCUCCUCAGCACUGAAUUUGGAAGUUGGAAUGUCUCUGUAUACAUGCAUCGUCAACACUUAAGCCAACACUUCUCUGGUUGUGGCGGCUGUGGCGAAGAUCAAGAACACAAGGAAGAAAGGGAAGGACACAAUGGCAACAGAGAAUAAAAGACAGUUUGAUUCACAGUUAUCAUCUCCCAUUCACUAAGUCCUUCUACUUCAUGCUGACAUCUGAUUGGCAGCUCUGAUGUGGGAAAAAUAAGUCUCUGAGUGGCAAGAAGGAGAGAAGAAAUAAAGGUACUAGAGAUAUAGGAGUGAUCAAAAGGAGGAUUGGACUCAAUGUACUUCCCAGGGCCUGAACCUCCUGAAGGAGAAACCUGGUAGAGGUAAGGAAGCAGCUAUUGUAUAUCUUUAUUUUUUUGAGAUUUCCUGAGUUAUUGAGCUGAGAACUUAUAACCUUCUUCUGACAUGAAUAGCUGUGUCCUCAAAAAUUAAGAAAGAAGGCACACAAUUCUUUUAUUGCUUUGUUCAGAAAAAAAUUGGGGGGGGGGGCAAGGAGAAAGUUCCCAAGUUUUUAAUUUGAUCUGAAAUUAAGAUAUUUGGCUAAUUCAGUUAUUACAAUUGAAAGCUGCUACUGGAGAACAAAUUAGUGGGGGGAAAAAAAGUAAAAUGAUUAAAAUUGCCAUACCUCUAUCUGUUGAUCCUGUGAAAUCCUUCACUUCAUCCCAUAUUUCAUGCACACAAUAGAAUCUAAGAGGAGGAGAAGCCCUUUCCCUUGUAGUCCUGGAUCAAUGGCAGAAAUCAGCAUCAGUGCUUAUAGUGCACCCUCAUGGAAGGCAUCUGUAUAUAUUGUCUUAUUUUAUCCUCACAGCAGCCCUUUGAGACAGGUGCUAUUUUUGUUUUCAUUUCCAUCUCAAGUUGCAUAAUCUUAUUCUCAGAGGUUAAAUGCUUUACCCCUGAAACAGAAGCCAAUAAACAGUCCAGUUGACAUUCAGAUGAGAUAUCUGAUUGAAAAUCAUGGGUUCUUUCCAAUAUACAGCACUGCCAGGAAUGGUGUAGCUGCAGCUCCUUUGCUCUGCACUCUUGAAAUUAUCAGUGAAUUCUUCUCCGAAGAAUAUUUACUAAAUAAUCUCAUUUAGAAAGAAAUAGCAUCUGGAAUAGUUGAACUGCUAACUCAAUCAGUUUCAUUAUUUUCAAUGAAUACAAGUUAAAGUGGAUGAAUAUUAAAAGCAUUGUUUCUUCUGAUGUUUGGAAUCAUGUGACCAUGCUCCAGGAUCAACACAGUAUACAAUGUGCAAACCCCCACCCUUAACAUUCAGAAAAUAAUGACUACAAAUGAUUAAACAUGUGACUAUCCAGUCUCUAUGCUAGAUACUUUACAUAUUUCAUUUACUUUACAACCCAAUAAAGAAGAUAUUAUUAUCUCAACCUACUUAUGAGACCCAAGAGGCCCAGAGAAGUUUUGUUCAAGGUCACACAGGCAGAAUUUUGGAAUUUGAUUCCAGGUUUAACCAUUAAGGCAACUUUUCCUUUCUUUUUAUUCUUGUUCUUAUGGUCUUCCUCCUCCUCCUUCUUCUUUUGCUUGCUCAUAUUUUCUUAUUCUUACACAUUUCCUUUCCCUUUUCUGGUCCACUCUGUGCAAAGUUCUCUACAGCAAUAUCAUGGAACAAGAAACGGUUUUUUGAAACUCAAAAACUGAGACUAGUGAGAAUAAUUUGUAUCGCAGAUGCUGUAGCAUAUAAAACAAAUGCUCCAAAUUUAACAAUUCUGUUUUCAGGGUCCAUAUCAUGAGCCUACUAGGAGUAAUUAAUUAAGGAGUAAUUAAUUAGAAGUAAUUAAUUUAAGGAUCCUAGGAGUAAUUAAUUUAAAGAUCUUUGUGACAUGGUAGAAUUUUCUGGAUAGACUUUAAGGAUUUCCAUUCCCAUACCUAUAUUUAAAUCUGUUCCUGGUGAUGAAAAUGACGAGAGUACACCUGAUUCUUCUGAGACACAAAACUCUACUGAUCUCCUGUGUCCACACAGACCUCAAAUGGCUUGUCAUAUGAGUAAAAAUUUUAUUUUAGAAAUGCUGCCUGUGGGUGCCAUAUUUUAGGGUUAUUUAUUCUAUAAUUUUUAUAUCCUGGCAUAAAUAUGUAUUAUGGGCCUUCAUGCUUCUUUAAGAAAUCUUUAAGAAUUAAAUUAACUCAAUAAUAUUUCUCUUAUUUUUUUGAGCUAUAUUAUUUAGGGAACUGUGAACCAAUGGUGGUGGUGAUCACUUUGGGUGCUGAAAAAAACCUUAGCAUGUAUAAUAUUGUAAAACAAACAUAUCCCCCAUUUUAUGCACAGGAAACUGAGACUUAGAAAAGUUCAACAAUUUUUCUAAGAUCACAUAGUCACAUAGUUUGCUGGUAGCACACCUGAGAUUGUAAUCCAGGUGU